AUACGUAGGGUGCGAGCGUUGUCCGGAAUUACUGGGCGUAAAGAGUUCGUAGGUGGUUUGUCGCGUCGUCUGUGAAAUUCCGGGGCUUAACUCCGGGCGGGCAGGCGAUACGGGCAUAACUUGAGUACUGUAGGGGAGAUUGGAAUUCCUGGUGUAGCGGAGAAAUGCGCAGAUAUCAUGAGGAAAACCGGUGGCGAAGGCGGUUCUCUGGGCUGUAACUGACUCUGAGGCGCGAAAGCAUGGGUAGCGAACAGGAUUAGAUACCCUGGUAGUCCACGCCGUAAACGGUGGGCGCUAGGUGUAGGGGUGUUCCACGUCUUCUGUGCCGAAGCUAACGCAUUAAGCGCCCCGCCUGGGGAGUACGGUCGCAAGACUAAAACUCAAAUGAAUUGACGGGG
rnacentral:rRNA from 1 species